rnacentral:rRNA from 1 species
GAUGAACGCUGGCGGCGUGCCUAAUACAUGCAAGUCGAGCGAACAGACGAGGAGCUUGCUCCUCUGACGUUAGCGGCGGACGGGUGAGUAACACGUGGAUACCCUACCUAUAAGACUGGGAUAACUUCGGGAAACCGGAGCUAAUACCGGAUAACAUGUUGAACCGCAUGGUUCAACAGUGAAAGACGGUCUUGCUGUCACUUCUAGAUGGAUCCGCGCCGCAUUAGCUAGUUGGUAAGGUAACGGCUUACCAAGGCAACGAUGCGUAGCCGACCUGAGAGGGUGAUCGGCCACACGGGAACUGAGACACGGUCCAGACGCCUACGGGAGGCAGCAGUAGGGAAUCUUCCGCAAUGGGCGAAAGCCUGACGGAGCAACGCCGCGUGAGUGAAGAAGGUCUUCGGAUCGUAAAACUCUGUUAUUAGGGAAGAACAAAUGUGUAAGUAACUAUGCACGUCGUGACGGUACCUAAUCAGAAAGCCACGGCUAACUACGUG